rnacentral:rRNA from 2 species
UGGGGAAUAUUGCACAAUGGGGGAAACCCUGAUGCAGCGACGCCGCGUGAGUGAUGAAGUAUUUCGGUAUGUAAAACUCUAUCAGCAGGGAAGAAAUUGACGGUACCUGACUAAGAAGCACCGGCUAAAUACGUGCCAGCAGCCGCGGUAAUACGUAUGGUGCAAGCGUUAUCCGGAUUUACUGGGUGUAAAGGGAGUGUAGGUGGCGAGGCAAGUCAGAAGUGAAAGCCCGGGGCUCAACCCCGGGACUGCUUUUGAAACUGCUUUGCUAGAGUGCAGGAGAGGUAAGUGGAAUUCCUAGUGUAGCGGUGAAAUGCGUAGAUAUUAGGAGGAACACCAGUGGCGAAGGCGGCUUACUGGACUGUAACUGACACUGAGGCUCGAAAGCGUGGGGAGCAAACAGG